rnacentral:lncRNA from 1 species
GGACUAUGAUGAAUUGGAGGUGGGGGUGAACUGUAAUGUGGUGGUGGAGGUGGGCUAUAAUAGAUUGGUGGCGGUGGUGAAGGUGGAGGAGGGGAGUUAUAAUGGAUUGGUGGCGGUGGUGGUGAUGGAGAUGGGGUUGGCAAAUAGCUAGGAGUAGGUGGUGGCGGUGGUUCAAUGCAAGGUUGAGGAGGAGGUGGUGGUUCUAUGCAAGGUGGAGGAGGAGAAUACACAGGUUGAGGUGGUGGUGGGGACUCAUAGUAAUACGGUGGUGGUGGUGAAAGGUGAAUGGGCGGCGGUGGGCUAUACACUGGUGACGGUGGUGGUGGAGAAUGCACAUGUGGUGGGG